AAGGGAAAGUGAUCGCUUCCAAGCAACUCAGGGGAGAGGCAAGAACGGUCCUUAAAAUUUUCCCUCACACUGAGCCCCUCAAGGCUGCCACCCACUGCCCCUAACCCCAGGCUACCCACCAAUUAAGAGACAGCCUUCAGGCCUCUGUCAUUUCCCAGGGUUGUCACUCUUGUUAUUUCUGGGAAUGCAUAGUUCCUUAGACUUCUGAAGUUUUGGGAGGAGGAUGCAACAUGCCGUACCAUUUGGCGUCUUGAUAGGAACCCAUGAUUUCUCUGGAAAUUAUCAGGGUGUGUUACUUUGAUGAGAACCUUUAAGUGUAUUUGAACUUUAAGAUAUAUGUACUAAUGUAUAUUGUUGGCAGAUACAGAAUUAAUGAAAUUUGAAAGAAUUUGGUGAAGAGUGCAGGCUGUCCAAAAAUCAAUAAUAUUUGUGCAAUGCUGAAUGUUAGCAUGAUACUGUGAAGGUGACAGACUCAAAGUGCAUUUUGCAAGUGUCUUAUUUUGUAGAUGAAGAGAAAGAUAAAUAGAGAAAAGAUUACCCAAGCCAGUUUUGAGGUGAAAAGUCUUGAUUUUGGAUAAUAUAACCAGAUAACGUUUUCUGAGAGGACUGUAGAGAAAAAGAAAAAGAAAAAGAAUCAUUGUAAAUCCAUGAUCUUCACGCAGGGUUAUGGAUUCUUCCCGAAUGUCGUCUGGCAACAGUGACAAGAUGGGGUGAGUUGACAUGAGUGAUCUGAGUGGUGAAAGGUAUGGGGGGCAUCGAUGGCAACAACAGGUUUCCAUAAGAGACUAUAAGCUUCUGUAGGUAACUUUCUUUCCUGUUGGGCCUAGGUGGCCAAAGGAAGGAGGAGUCAGAAGAGGGAGACUUCUUACUCACGGUUUGUUUGUGAGCCUUAGAAAGUAGUAGCCAAAGCUUUGAGGAAACUCUCAGAAUGCCUGUGUGUAAGACUCUGCUAGAGUGGGCCAGGAGAGGAGAGAAUCCUAUUUGGAGCAAGGAGACGGUAGCAGUGGAGAGGGAGCAGUGGAGCUCUCAGCAGAAGAGAAUGGAGCUAAACAGACCUCGGCUCCUUUCGUCAGCCUCCAGAGCUCUGCCACCAUCUAAAGCUGGUGUCCCGAAUGCCAAGCCACCGUCAUACUGGAGGGAGCCCGUGCCUCAGACCUGCAGUCAUCUGAACCCUGUAUGAGGAACAGAAAAGACAUACAUGAUACAUGAAGGGUCAGGAUGUGGUGGAGGGUGUUGAGGAUCAGGAAAUUAGGAGGAGCUGGGGAAAUGUGUACCUACAACCUGGAGUUGAAUUUUGAGCUAAAUUCAACUCUCGAUGCAAUUACACGUGAGAGUAAGGUUCAGUAGUGAAGAAUUGUAUUUCAAUAUCUUCAUUCAUUAGGCUUUUUGACCGGCCGAAGAUCUCCGUUACAACUAUAGAAAGCCCUAUUUCUAGGGAAGAUUAAAAUACUAGUUUCCAAAUAACUAACACCCACAUAAUUCUUUAGGGUUCAACCAGUUUACCACUUGAAGACUACUUGUAACUAAUUGCAAACAAGAGUGUAACUCUAUGAAGUCACUUGGAGUCUGAUCAUAUAUGCUUUUAAUUCUUUAGAAAUGACCCCGAUGAACUGACAGAAAUAAUCUGUGAUGGAACCACCAACAAAAGGUGACGUAUAUACUCAGAGAGAGAGAGAGAGAGAGAGAGAGAGAGAGAGAGAGAGAGAGAGAGUGAGUGAAAUGCAGACGCGGCAUGAUCCAUGGGAAUGCGGAAUAUUCUGGACAAUGAUUCUAAGAUCUUUUCUAAAAUUUCGGAUCCACUGAGCUAAGUCAUGUUUAUCAUAUUCUUAGAUUCACAGAAUCCUUGUUCAAAUAAGUUGGUCACAUCACUGUCCCAUGUAGGAAAUCUCAAAUGACAUGUUGUUGCAUUUCUUGGUGUUUACGUUAACAUGGAACAACUCUCCAGGCUCCGUGACGAUUUGUUAUGAGGACCAAAUAAGUGUUAAACACUUAGGAUGAUGUCUGGCACGUAAUAAAUACCAUUUAAGUGCUUAUUACAUGGAACAAAAGUUUUCCGUGUACUUAGUCAUGUCAUCUGAAAACAGCGAUAACUUUCAUUUUUCCUGUCCAGUCCUUAUACCUCUCACUUCUUUUUCUGACGUCAUUGAGCAGUGUUGGAAGGCAUAUGGCUCUUGGGAGGAAAUAAAAGGAGGUCAGGACUGGAGAACAGGAUUGAGGGAGAGAGAGGUGCGCCACAAGGAUGAGGGCUGGCAGGGUCAGGUUUGAAGGGCAUUGUAGGCUCUGCUGAAUGGUUUUGGCUCAAUCCUAGUAGCACUGGCAAGGCAAUGAGGGGUCAUGCUUGAGGCUCUGCAACCAAUACAAACUCCAAUCGUGAACCGUAGACGUACCAACUGUAGCUUUCUAGAGAGGUAGGCUUUUCUAGAGAUGCACUCCUAGACUGUGCAUUCCCAGGUAUGUGGACAUCUUUUGGGGUGAUGUCUGGGAUGUGGAGAGGGUAUGUUGUCUCUGCCGCUAUAUGGGCUUUUAAGGGCUGGAGAGUCUGUGCAGCUCGAUAUUCCCUCUCCCACGUGAAUGCUGAGAAGAGUGAGAGCUGACCACAAAACAGGGAGCCGACUCCAGACAGAGUGUGGAGAGACCCAGUGAAGAUAGCCCUUUGAGUCUUUAGUCAGGAGGUUGACAGAGCAAAUCAAGACAUAGACUCAGUAAGGGGCAUUGUUCUAAAUGCACUUUCAAGUUUCCUUGGUGGAAUAGGUUGGAUGUAGGAUGAGUUGAGACAGACAAUUUUUGGUUUUUCAACGUCAGCUUUUUUGUACUAUCUCCUUUUUUCCCCAAUCUCAUUUUCACCAGAACAAGCACCAGGAGAGCUAUUUUUGAAACACUUUUUCCAUUGUAAGAAUUCGAAACUUAUGCAGAUUUCUAAAUUGUGGUAAAUGCAUGUAACCUAAAAUUGAUCAUCUUCAGCAUUUUUAAGUGUGCCAUUCUGUAGCGUUAGGUACCUUCAUAUUGUUGUGCAGCCAACCUGCAGAACUCUUCUCGUCUUGCAAAACUGAAACUCUGUACACAUUAAACUACUCUCCCCGUUGCCCCUUCCCAAGCUCUUGGCAACCACCAUUCUACCUUCUGUCUCUGUGAGUUUGACUACUCUAGGUAUGUCAUGUCAGUGGAAUCAUGCAAAAUUUGUCUUCUUGUGCCUAGUUAUUUCAUUUAGCACAAUGCCCUCAAAGUCAAUCCAUGUUGCAGCAUGUGUCCGAAUUUCAUUUCUUUUUAAGACUGAACAAUAUUCCAACACAUACAGAAAUUUCUCGCAAAUGGUUCCAAAAGCUCCAGUAUACCCUUUACUUACUUUUCCAAUUGUUAACAUUUUGUCACAUUUCCUUUGUUACUCCCAUCAUAUGGGUAUGUAGGUAUAUAGACAUAAAUCUAUCUAUCUAUCUAUUUAUCGAUCUAUAGAUAUAUAUAGAAAGAGAGAGAGAGAAAGAAAAUACGUUUAGAUAUAGAUAUACACAUAGAAAGAGCUCUCUCUCUCAAUAUAUCUGUAUCUAGAUCUGAUUUUUAUGUGAGUUGAGGCAGAAGAUGUUUGAUAGACACACACGUGACACACACCUUCCUACACACUUAGGCUCUAUUCCUGAAUCAUUAGAGAGAAAAUGCAGACCACAUACCCUUUACUCCUGAAUAUUUCAGUUUUAUUUUUCUACCUUCAGGGACACCUAACCACAGCACAGUGAUCAAAAUCAGAAAAUUUUCACUUCCGUAACCAUAAUACGAUUACCAGAAUUGGAAAAUGAAAGCCAUAAUAGAAUAUUAUCUGAUUUAUGGUUUACAUUGCGACUCACUCUUGGUGUCAUACAUUCUAUGGGUUUGGAUAAAAGUAGAAUGACAUGAAUCUGUCAUUAGAGUUUCAUAACGAUGGAGUAUUUUCACUGCCCUAAAAAUCCUUUGUGCUCCGCCUAUUCAUCCUUCUCCCCGCCAACUCCUGGCAACCACCGAUCUCUUCCUGUCGCCCAAUUUUGCACGUCCAGAAUGUCAUAUAGUUGGCCUCAUACAGUAUGCAACCUUUUCAGAUUGGCUUCUUUCACAAAGUAACAUGCAUGUAAGGUUUCUUUUCACAGCUUGAUAGCUCGUUGCUUUUUAGCGCUGAAUAAUAUGCCGUUGACUAGAUGUACCACGGUUUGUUUAUCCGUUCAUCUGGUGCAGGACAUCUUGGUUGCUUCCGCUUUUUGGCGAUUACGAGUAAAGCUGCUAUCAACAUUUGUGUGCAGGUUUUCAUCUGCGUGUAAGUUUUGAACUCCUUUGGGUAAAUACUAAGGAGCGUAUGUUAAGCUGGAUCGUACGUUAAGGGUUAUGCUUGGUUUUGUAAGAAACCCCUAAACUGCCUUCCAGAGUGGCUGUUCCGUUUUGCCUUGCCACCCAUACUGAAUGAGUGUCUCCAAUGCUCCACAUGCUUGUCAGCAAUUGCUGUUGUUAGUGUUCCAUAUUUUGACUAUUCUAACAGGUGUGUAGUGGUAUCUCAUUGUUGUUCAAUUUGCAUUUCCCUGGAGCCAUAUGAUGUGGAGCAUCGUCUCAUACUCUUAGUUGCCAUUUUUAUGUCUUCUUUGGCCAGAUGUCUGUUAAGUUGUUUGCCCCAUUUUUUAAUCUGGUUGUGUGUGUUCUUGUUGUUUAGUUUUAAGAUUUCUUUGCGUAUUUGUAUAUUUGUUAUUCCUUUAUCAACUGUGCCUUUUGCAAAUAUUUUCUCCCAGUCUGUGGCUUGUGAUUUUAUCCUCUUGACAUUGUGUCUUGUGGAGCAGCAGUUUAAAAUGUUAAUGAAAUCCAGCUUAUCAGUUAUUCCUUUCAUGAUCUUGAUUUUGCUGUCACAUCUAGAAAGUCAUGUUUCUAAAGAGGUCAUCUCGGUUUUCUUCCGUGUUACUGUCUUCUAGGG
ensembl:lncRNA